rnacentral:rRNA from 1 species
GACGAACGCUGGCGGCGUGCUUAACACAUGCAAGUCGAGCGAGACCUCUCCUUCGGGGGGGUGUUCUAGCGACGAACGGGUGAGUAACACGUGGGCAACCUGCCCUCAGCUCUGGGAUACCUCCAAGAAAUUGGGGCUAAUACCGGAUAUGACCGCUGACCGCAUGGUCUGGUGGUGGAAAGAUUUAUCGGCUGGGGAUGGGCCCGCGGCCUAUCAGCUUGUUGGUGGGGUGGUGGCCUACCAAGGCGACGACGGGUAGCCGGCCUGAGAGGGUGACCGGCCACACUGGGACUGAGACACGGCCCAGACUCCUACGGGAGGCAGCAGUGGGGAAUAUUGCGCAAUGGGCGGAAGCCUGACGCAGCGACGCCGCGUGGGGGAUGACGGCCUUCGGGUUGUAAACCUCUUUCAGCAGGGACGAAGCGAGAGUGACGGUACCUGCAGAAGAAGCACCGGCCAACUACGUGCCAGCAGCCGCCGUAAGAC